UCUGAUGUGAAAUCCCCCGGCUCAACCUGGGAGCGUGUCAUUCGAAACUGGCGGGCUUGAGUCGUUGUAGAGGAGAGUGGAAUUCCACGUGUAGCGGUGAAAUGCGUAGAGAUGUGGAGGAACACCGGUGGCGAAGGCGACCCCCUGGACUGAGACUGACGCUCAGGAGCGAAAGCGUGGGGAGCAAACAGGAUUAGAUACCCUGGUAGUCCACGCCGUAAACGAUGACUACUUGGAGGUUGUGCCCUUGAGGCCCGUCUUCCUGAGCUAACGCGUUAAGUCAACCGCCCGGGGAAUACCGCCCCCAGGAUAGAACUCCAAUGAAUUUGCCGGGGCCCCCACCAGCCGUGGAACAUGGGGUUUAAUUCCAUGCCACCCCAAAAACCCUACCUACUCCUGACCUCCCUAGAACUUUCCGGAGAUGCUUUGGUGCCCUCCGGAACUCUAAUACCGGUGCUGCAUGGCUGUCCUCCGCUCCUGUUGUGAAAUGGUGGGUUAAGUCCCCCCACCAGCGCAACCCUUAUCCUUUGUUGCCAGCGAUUAAGCCGGGAACUCAAAGGAGACUGCCAGUGAUAAACUGGAGGAAGG
rnacentral:rRNA from 1 species